rnacentral:rRNA from 1 species
GCCCCUAGCAAAAUUAGAGGUGGAGUCUGCCCAAUGUUGAAUGGCUGCAGUAAUCUGACUGUACAAAGGUAGCGUAAUCAAUAGCCUUUUAAUUGGAGGCCAGUAUGAAAGACCUCACCCGGCACCUAGUUUUGGACCUUGAACUAAAACCAAAGGUAAAAAUGCCUUUAUCCACCUCUAGGACGAGAAGACCCUAGGAGCUUCAAGGUACUUUUAAUUGGGGCGAUAGGAGAAGAUAACGACCUUUUUUAAGCUACCCUAGGGAUAACAGCGAAAUUCUAGCCUCUAGUACCUAUAGAAGCUCAAGCUUGCGACCUCGAUGUUGAAUUAAGAAGUGCAGGAGCCUAAGUCCGUUCGACUUACAGACCUUACA